rnacentral:rRNA from 1 species
UACGUAGGGUGCGAGCGUUGUCCGGAAUUAUUGGGCGUAAAGAGCUUGUAGGCGGUUUGUCGCGUCUGCUGUGAAAAUCCGGGGCUCAACCCCGGACUUGCAGUGGGUACGGGCAGACUAGAGUGUGGUAGGGGAGACUGGAAUUCCUGGUGUAGCGGUGAAAUGCGCAGAUAUCAGGAGGAACACCGAUGGCGAAGGCAGGUCUCUGGGCCACUACUGACGCUGAGAAGCGAAAGCAUGGGUAGCGAACAGG